rnacentral:rRNA from 1 species
GAUGAACGCUGGCGGCGUGCCUAAUACAUGCAAGUCGAGCGAACAGAUGAGAAGCUUGCUUCUCUGAUGUUAGCGGCGGACGGGUGAGUAACACGUGGGUAACCUACCUAUAAGACUGGGAUAACUCCGGGAAACCGGGGCUAAUACCGGAUAAUAUUUUGAACCGCAUGGUUCAAUAGUGAAAGACGGUUUCGGCUGUCACUUAUAGAUGGACCCGCGCCGUAUUAGCUAGUUGGUAAGGUGACGGCUUACCAAGGCGACGAUACGUAGCCGACCUGAGAGGGUGAUCGGCCAAACUGGAGCUGAGACACGGUCCAGACUCCUACGGGAGGCAGCAGUAGGGAAUCUUCCGCAAUGGGCGAAAGCCUGACGGAGCAACGCCGCGUGAGUGAUGAAGGUCUUCGGAUCGUAAAACUCUGUUGUUAGGGAAGAACAAAUUGGUUAGUAACUGAACAAGUCUUGACGGUACCUAACCAGAAAGCCACGGCUAACUACGUGCCAGCCGCCGCCGUAA